rnacentral:rRNA from 1 species
GACGAACGCUGGCGGCGUGCUUAACACAUGCAAGUCGAACGGUAAGGCCCUUCGGGGUACACGAGUGGCGAACGGGUGAGUAACACGUGGGUGAUCUGCCCUGCACUUCGGGAUAAGCCUGGGAAACUGGGUCUAAUACCGGAUAGGACCACUGCCUGCAUGUGAUGGUGGUGGAAAGUUUUUCGGCCAGGGAUGUGCUCGCGGCCUAUCAGCUUGAUGGUGAGGUAAUGGCUCACCAUGGCUUCGACGGGUAGCCGGCCUGAGAGGGUGACCGGUCACACUGGGACUGAGACACGGCCCAGACUCCUACGGGAGGCAGCAGUGGGGAAUAUUGGACAAUGGGCGGAAGCCUGAUCCAGCAACGCCGCGUGAGGGAUGACGGCCUUCGGGUUGUAAACCUCUUUCGCCUAUGACGAAGCGCAAGUGACGGUAAUAGGUAAAGAAGCACCGGCCAACUACGUGCCAGCCGCCGCGGUAA